rnacentral:rRNA from 1 species
ACGCUCGACACCUACGGGAAGCAGCAGUCGGGAAUAUUGCGCAAUGGAGGAAACUCUGACGCAGUGACGCCGCGUAUAGGAAGAAGGUUUUCGGAUUGUAAACUAUUGUCGUUAGGGAAGAAAAAGGACAGUACCUAAGGAGGAAGCUCCGGCUAACUACGUGCUAGCAGCCGCGGUAAUCUGAGCGGGCUGGCAAGGC